rnacentral:rRNA from 1 species
GGAUUAGAUACCCUGGUAGUCCGCACCGUAAACUAUGAUUACUCGUUGUUGGCGAUAUGACAGUCAGCGACCAAGCGAAAGCGAUAAGUAAUCCACCUGGGGAGUACGCCGGCAACGGUGAAACUCAAAGGAAUUGACGGGGGCCCGCACAAGCGGAGGAGCAUGUGGUUUAAUUCGAUGAUACGCGAGGAACCUUACCUGGGCUUGAAAGUUAGCGACCGGUCCUGAAAGGGAUCUUCCAGCAAUGGCGCGAAACUAGGUGCUGCAUGGCUGUCGUCAGCUCGUGCCG